CGUAGGGUGCGAGCGUUAAUCGGAAUUACUGGGCGUAAAGCGUGCGCAGGCGGUUAUAUAAGACAGAUGCGAAAUCCCCGGGCUCAACCUGGGAACUGCAUUUGUGACUGUAUAGCUAGAGUACGGCAGGGGGGGAUGGAAUUCCGCGUGUAGCAGUGAAAUGCGUAGAUAUGCGGAGGAACACCGAUGGCGAAGGCAAUCCCCUGGGCCUGUACUGACGCUCAUGCACGAAAGCGUGGGGAGCAAACAGGAUUAGAUACCCUGGUAGUCCACGCCCUAAACGAUGUCAACUGGUUGUUGGGUCUUCACUGACUCAGUAACGAAGCUAACGCGUGAAGUUGACCGCCUGGGGAGUACGGCCGCAAGGUUG
rnacentral:rRNA from 1 species